rnacentral:lncRNA from 1 species
GUCGCUUAUAAACGAUCGUGUUAAGUGAAUUCUUGGCAAACGUUUCAUGCUUUUCAUAGUAACAAUUGCCUCAUCAAUGCUUAUAGUUUUCAUGAAGCUUAAUGAUCUUUGAUUGUACCUUUAUUGUGCUUUUCACGUAAGGGACUUUUAGAGAAUGUUUUGAGUUGUUGCAUGUGCAUUCCCAUCCAAUUCAAUAAUUUAAGGAAGACUUGAAGGUUAAAAAAAUGCUAUCACAGUUAACCUAGGGCAUUGAGGUUCAUGGUCUAUUGAAAGAAGCAAUUGGAAAUCAACUUUGUAUGCAAGUGUAUCAUGUGUGGAGAAGAACCCUCUAGUUAGUCUAUCACCCAUCAAUUCACCUAGUUUUGUCUAAGAAUCUGUUUACAUUGUUCUUGUCUUAAUUUACUUAUUUUCGUCCAAAAUCAACCCCACCUUAUUUCUUUGAGUCAUAUUAGUUAGAACUUGUCUUAGAUUAUGUUUUUAAGUGUUUUAAGUCAUUAGAAAACCAAAUUUCGUCCAAGUUUGUGUUAGUAUUCAAAACUGCCCAGAAAGUGUUUUUAAGG